rnacentral:rRNA from 1 species
AGAGUUUGAUCCUGGCUCAGAAUCAACGCUGGCGGCGUGCCUAACACAUGCAAGUCGAACGAGAAAGCGGGGGCAACCCUGCAAGUACAGUGGCAGACGGGUGAGUAACACGUGAACAACCUGCCCUCAAGCGGGGAAUAACACCGCGAAAGCGGUGCUAAUACCGCAUAACAUCCCCGGGACACAUGUUCUGGGGAUCAAAGGCGAAAGUCGCUUGAGGAGGGGUUCGCGCCUGAUUAGCUAGUUGGUGAGGUAACGGCCCACCAAGGCGACGAUCAGUAGCCGGCCUGAGAGGGCGUACGGCCACACUGGAACUGAGACACGGUCCAGACUCCUACGGGAGGCAGCAGUGGGGAAUUUUGCGCAAUGGGCGAAAGCCUGACGCAGCAACGCCGCGUGGAGGAUGAAGGUCUUCGGAUCGUAAACUCCUGUCAGGGGGGAAGAAAGCCUUAACCGGUUUGACUGUACCCCCUGAGGAAGCCACGGCUAACUCCGUGCCAGCAGCCGCGGUAAUACGGAGGUGGCAAGCGUUGUUCGGAAUUACUGGGCGUAAAGGGCGCGUAGGCGGCAUGGCAAGUCAGAUGUGAAAGCCCCGGGCUUAACUCGGGAAUUGCAUCUGAAACUGCUUUGCUUGAGUCCUGGAGGGGGUAGUGGAAUUCCCAGUGUAGCGGUGAAAUGCGUAGAUAUUGGGAGGAACACCGGUGGCGAAGGCGGCUACCUGGACAGUGACUGACGCUGAUGCGCGAAAGCUAGGGGAGCAAACGGGAUUAGAUACCCCGGUAGUCCUAGCCGUAAACGAU